rnacentral:RNase_P_RNA from 1 species
UAAGCGGACCGGAUGAUGGCGGGGCCAUUUUUGGCAACGAGGAAAGUCCGGGCUUCACAGGGCAGGAUGACGGAUAACGUCCGCCCGGGGUGACCCGCGGGAAAGCGCAACAGAAAACAUACCGCCGAAUGGCACCGACAGGUGUUUCAUGGCAAGGUUGAAAAGGCAGUGUAAGAGACUACCGCGGUCAUGGUAACAUGACCGGCAUUGCAAGCCCCAUCCGAAGCAAGAACAAAUUUGAAAGCCAUAGGCCGGCCCGGCCUGCUUUCGUGGUAGUUCGCUAAAGACUGUCGGUAACGGCAGCCUUAGACAGAUCAUCAUCCAAGACAAAACCCGGCUUACAGGUCCGCUUAUCAU